UACGUAGGUGACAAGCGUUGUCCGGAUUUACUGGGCGUAAAGAGCGCGCAGGCGGUCGUUCAAGUCGAGUGUGAAAGCCCCCGGCUCAACUGGGGAGGGUCAUUCGAUACUGAUCGACUCGAAGGCAGGAGAGGGAAGUGGAAUUCCCGGUGUAGUGGUGAAAUGCGUAGAUAUCGGGAGGAACACCAGUGGCGAAGGCGGCUCUCUGGGACGGUACUGACGCUGAGACGCGAAAGCGUGGGGAGCGAACAGG
rnacentral:rRNA from 1 species